rnacentral:lncRNA from 1 species
AAGGGGGAUUACUCGGGUAUUUCUAAGGACGGACCGCAUACCAACCAUUCCUUUUUGGAAUGUAGUGAGCCCUCUUCUUGCCCGGGCUUGGCUUUCAGACUUGACACCUUUCUUGUCGGAGUGAACGGGGUUGCCUCGUUUCGGGGUUACCUCAAAGUAAGGGAUAUCCGGGGUCACCUCCGAAGGGUCCUAGCAGCAAGACAAUCGGGGUAGGAGGGAUGCCUGUCUCGGAGGUAGCGGGGUUGCCUUGAAGGCGCGUCUGCUGUUUCUCUUGUUUUGUUCCUAGGCCCAUUGGAAGCCUUUUUAUGGCAGUCUUUGCCGAACUCUUCUAGAUUUGAGGUUCAAAUGAAAGAUUCUUCUCAAUGGAACUGGCCAUCUAAUCUAUGAAGAUAGGCUGCACCAGACAAACAACAAGCCCCUUUGUCAGAGACUUUUAAGUUGUUCAAGAAGAUGUACUGCUACUACGCCCUUCGUGCCUAUUCUCUUGAGAGUUCCCUCGGCUCGGGGAAUAGAAAGCAAGACUCUGACGUUCGGUCUGGUCUCAGGUUUCUCAGGUUUUUGAAUUCCUUUUCUUCCCAAGAACUAGAGGGUCUACGGGCAAGCGCUAGUGCUUUUGCUCAGACAGCCUUUCCUACCGAGGUGAGUAAGCUAGAGCUCCCUCCUUUAUUCCAUUCUUCGUUCCUUCCUACGGGUAGGGACAUUUCCCUAAAAGAAAUCCUAAACUGCUAUUGUAUUGAUAGUACGAGCAUAAAUAGCAGUUUCCGCCCUUUGGUUUAGCUGAUAGAGACUAUUCAAUUAACCCAUUUCUUAGUUCUUUCCGCAAGAAGAACGUAGACGCUAUUUGCUGCACCAGCGCUUGAUAGGAGAAAGAAAGUGCCAUAUUCCCGAGUAGGACUUCUCUUCGCUCUUUGUCUGGCCAUGGUCAAUCAAAUUAGAAAUCUUGUCUUCUAAAAAAGGGGUACUGUCUUUCUUCAUUUCCUCCUUGGAUAGAGUGCUUCCUAAAACGAUUACUGCAAACUUUCUUUCAACAGGGAAGGCUAGGGGAUUCUCCUAAAGACAAAAGCAUUAGAGAAGAAGAAUGCAGGGAUUCCAUCGCCUUUCUUUAUAAGAUCGAAGACUUGCUUUUUCGUAUCAUUGUUACCAAAAAACUCCACGGUCAGGAGAUGAAGAAGAAUUAGAUCCGCCGGAAAGAGAGAUUAAGAUGUGGAACAAAUAAAAUCGCUUUACUCACGGCAUUGUCAUUCCUCUUGGGGAACUAUACCCCACUCCUGAGCCAGGAUCAAACCCUCUUUUUCGAGGAAGAUUUAUAGCUCUUCGUCACCCUGGUUACCAGCCAACGGUAGAGCAAAUUCCUCAGCUUCCACACAUGUCAAAGAAUGCAUUGAAUGUGUUCUUCCUAUGGCCAUUUCCAGGCCUUUUUAGGCCAGUUAAGAAGUUCGGGGGCUAAGCGGUGAAUUAGCUUUUAAGCUUAAGAGAAUGCCCAGGAGAAGGCCCUUAAGUAGCAGUCUCAGAGCCUUUUUGGCUUAGUGUGUGAGAUGCCUGUCUUAGCUUUCGUUUUGAGAGUCUCCUUUCUCCGGGUCAACUGCAAAAGUAGUGGUAAAAACCUUAGUAUUAGGGUAUUAGGUAUGUGGUAUUAGUCUUAGUAGAGGCUUUUCCCCUGUUUGGAACCCUG